rnacentral:lncRNA from 1 species
UCUCACAAUAUGUGCAUUUCGCGGGCGCCCACAAGAUAAGUAGGAAUCGUAGCUACUCUAUAUAAAUGCUUCAACAGCAGGACCACGGUUAUGCUGGAAGUAGAAAAACUAUUGUACAAAAUACCAAAAAGUUUGGCUGUAGCUCAGUCAUUAAAUGCUGGAAGAUUGUGCAGUUUCCAGAUUAUAAGUGAACAACCAGACCAUGUAAGGCUUCAUGGCUUCAUCAAAUAUCCCAUAGAAUAGGCACACCAGACAGCAGAAAAAGAUGUAUGGAAAUGGAGUUGGGGAGUUUGAAGAAUCUGCUUUUGAGUGGUGUCAGCAAAAACUGGGAUUCAUGGUUUUGUACAAUUUACACCAAAGACUAACAAUUGAAUACCUUUACGGUGUUCUUUUUAAAGAAGCAAUGGUGCAAGAAACUUACCAUAUGAGGAAGCAGAUGAGCAAUGAUGUUUGACUGAGUUUGACAGGAAUAAGAAACCACAAAAAUGAACUUAUAGUUAAAACCCUAGAUUUUUUUGACCAAGGAAUGUCUUAAGCAGAGUACGGGCUGUUGUUACCCUGUAAAAAAAAUGGAUGUUUAUGUCUUGUGAGUCUUUGUUACGACUGAUGACACAUUCAAUUACAUGAUUGUGUUUACCAGCUUUGACAUUGGAAUUUGUUGCAAAUUACCUAUUUCAGUGUAACUAAGCAAGAAAUAGGUAAUUAGGUAAAUGUGGAAUAUAUCUUAACACAUAUUAAAUUUUCUGACUUCUUAAUGAGACCAUCUUCACUAUCCUUUAAAUUAUUUAGUAAGCAUUUGUGUAACAGUAUAAAAUUUAGUAGAUAUAUGUUUGUAUUAAGUUGUGGAAAAUUUUAUAAGAAAUGUGAAUCUGCACAUAUUAAAAUGUAAUAGAGGUAUUACUGCCAGUUUAAUGAAUCCAAAUUUAAAUGAGGUUUUGUAAUAUCAUGUACUCUUAAAUGUUCCAAAAUACUGUUCGUGCUUUAAGUUUGAUAAUU